rnacentral:rRNA from 1 species
AGAGUUUGAUCCUGGCUCAGGAUGAACGCUAGCUACAGGCUUAACACAUGCAAGUCGAGGGGCAGCAUGGUCUUAGCUUGCUAAGGCCGAUGGCGACCGGCGCACGGGUGAGUAACGCGUAUCCAACCUGCCCACCACUUGGGGAUAACCUUGCGAAAGUAAGACUAAUACCCAAUGAUAUCUCUAGAAGACAUCUGAAAGAGAUUAAAGAUUUAUCGGUGAUGGAUGGGGAUGCGUCUGAUUAGCUUGUUGGCGGGGUAACGGCCCACCAAGGCAACGAUCAGUAGGGGUUCUGAGAGGAAGGUCCCCCACAUUGGAACUGAGACACGGUCCAAACUCCUACGGGAGGCAGCAGUGAGGAAUAUUGGUCAAUGGACGAGAGUCUGAACCAGCCAAGUAGCGUGCAGGAAGACGGCCCUAUGGGUUGUAAACUGCUUUUAUAAGGGAAUAAAGUGAGUCUCGUGAGACUUUUUGCAUGUACCUUAUGAAUAAGGACCGGCUAAUUCCGUGCCAGCAGCCGCGGUAAUACGGAAGGUCCGGGCGUUAUCCGGAUUUAUUGGGUUUAAAGGGAGCGUAGGCCGGAGAUUAAGCGUGUUGUGAAAUGUAGAUGCUCAACAUCUGAACUGCAGCGCGAACUGGUUUCCUUGAGUACGCACAAAGUGGGCGGAAUUCGUGGUGUAGCGGUGAAAUGCUUAGAUAUCACGAAGAACUCCGAUUGCGAAGGCAGCUCACUGGAGCGCAACUGACGCUGAAGCUCGAAAGUGCGGGUAUCGAACAGGAUUAGAUACCCUGGUAGUCCGCACGGUAAACGAUGGAUGCCCGCUGUUGGUCUGAAUAGGUCAGCGGCCAAGCGAAAGCAUUAAGCAUCCCACCUGGGGAGUACGCCGGCAACGGUGAAACUCAAAGGAAUUGACGGGGGCCCGCACAAGCGGAGGAACAUGUGGUUUAA